UUCCUGGUAGGUCAAUAGAAACUGGCCACAAUGAUCUGGUGGGUAGUCAUCAAAACUAAAGAAAGUGAACUUCUAUGGAAAACAGUUUGGUAUAAUGUUUCCACCAUUCAAAUUUAGCCCAGGACUGCCUAUUCAUACUCACCACUUCCUGUUGCAUUUCAGUGUUCCUUGUGGUGGGAAAUUGUCCCUGAAAUAACAGUAAGUGUCCUAGACUAUGUAACUAUGCUUCUACUGAAAGUUUUCAGAGCAACGUGGUGGGAAGGAAGAAAUGGGAAGUUUUUAUAUCUGAACGGAAGGCUGUAGUGUUUGUUGGAAUUUAUGGAGGGAAGCUUGGAUCUCCAGGGCCGAGUUGUGAGGAAGAAUGCACUGGAUGUUAUGUGCCUGGGGAUAUGGGGGAGAUGCCACCAGAACCCAAGAACACAGGAUGGGAUGACGCCUUCCACCAUCCACAGGGAAUCUUAGGUACCUAGGCUGGCACCUUUCGGGAGACAGGACCUCGGACCCCGGAACUUGGCAUGCGCCUUAAAAGGCAUCUAGAAGGUAAACACCCAGACAUCCUAUGACCCAGUAGUUCCACUCCCAGAACACAACAGAAAUGCGUGUGUAUAUUCAUCGAAAGAUGGAUUUGAGAAUCUCCACAGCAGCGUUAUUUGUAAUAGCCCAAACUAAAAACAAUUUACAUAACCGUCAACAGUGGUUAAUAGUCACUCAAGGGAAUGUGAGCGGCGACCGCGGAGGAACAGCAUGGCUUGUGAGGGCCGCAUGCCUGGAGCUGCUACAGCCAUCUUGUGGCCGUGAGCGGAGACAUCCCCACUCCUCGGGCAUCCUGGAGCCGCGGCCCUGGAGUCCAGAUUUCAGUAACAAGUAAACCUCCCUACGGUCCCAG